rnacentral:rRNA from 1 species
UGCCGAGAAAAGCUUCUAGCCAGAGACGGUGCACCCGUACCGCAAACCGACACAGGUAGUCGAGGAGAGUAUCCUCAGGUGAGCGAGAGAACUCUCGUUAAGGAACUCGGCAAAAUGGCCCCGUAACUUCGGGAGAAGGGGCGCUGGUCGCAAGAUCAGCCGCAGUGAAAAGGCCCAAGCAACUGUUUAUCAAAAACACAGGCAUCUGCAAAAUCGUAAGAUGAAGUAUAGGUGCUGACACCUGCCCGGUGCUGGAAGGUUAAGAGGAGAGCUUAGCGCAAGCGAAGGUUUGAAUUGAAGCCCCAGUAAACGGCGGCCGUAACUAUAACGGUCCUAAGGUAGCGAAAUUCCUUGUCGGGUAAGUUCCGACCUGCACGAAAGGUGUAAUGAUUUGGGCACUGUC